GAUGAACGCUGGCGGCGUGCUUAACACAUGCAAGUCGAACGAAGAUGCCGGAGUGCUUGCACUUUGGCAGACUGAGUGGCGGACGGGUGAGUAACGCGUGGGUAACCUGCCUUAUACAGGGGGAUAACAGUUGGAAACGACUGCUAAUACCGCAUAAGCGCACGGUAUCGCAUGAUACAGUGUGAAAAACUCCGGUGGUAUAAGAUGGACCCGCGUCUGAUUAGCUAGUUGGUGAGGUAACGGCCCACCAAGGCGACGAUCGGUAGCUGGUCUGAGAGGACGACCAGCCACACUGGGACUGAGACACGGCCCAGACUCCUACGGGAGGCAGCAGUGGGGAAUUUUGGACAAUGGGGGCAACCCUGAUCCAGCCAUGCCGCGUGCAGGAUGAAGGCC
rnacentral:rRNA from 1 species